ensembl:snRNA U6 U6 spliceosomal RNA
GUGCUCGCUUCAGCAGCACAUAGACUAAAAUUGGAAUGAUACAGAGAAGAUCCGCGUGGCCCCAGCACAAGGCUGACACGCAAAUUCACCAAGCGUUCCAUAUUAAA